CAAAAACAUAGCUGUAUGGUAUUAUGUACAGUGAUUUCUGCUCAAUGACUUAAAUAGCCGCAGUACCUUGACUGUGCAAAGGUAGCGUAAUCAUUUGUCUUUUAAUUGAAGUCUUGUAUCAACGAAUAUAUGAUGGCCCACUGUAACAACGAUAUAUGGUAAAAUUACUGAGGGCGUGCAAAUACGCCUAUGACUUAAUAGACGAGAAGACCCUAGAAAUUUUGACAAUUGUUUUUGUUGGGGCAACAUAGUAACAAGAAAUUUACUAUAUGGACAAGAAAAGUGUGAGACAGCGGAAAUUACUCUAGGGAUAACAGCAUAAUGUUUUAGCGUUUGUGACCUCGAUGUUGGAUUAGGAAGUUAUAGCCUAGAAGGGACCUAACUUUGCUCUGUUC
rnacentral:rRNA from 1 species